rnacentral:lncRNA from 1 species
UUUUUUUUUUUUUUUUUUUUUUGGUAUGUGGCCUAACACUAGAAAAGUUAAAUCUUGAAAGGGUAAUAAUUUAUAGAGGACAUCAGGGGAAAGAAAUAGUUUUAAAAGAAUAAUACAAAAACAAUCUCCAAAUUCAUCAAAUUUUUUUAAUCCUUAUGUAAGUGUGGGAUAGAUACGGUAUUGGAACGAGAAGAAUGUUUUGGGACAGUACCUAAUUGUUGAUUUUGACCACUCAAAUAAUGUGUGUCAAAAUCUCACCAGGGACGAUCAGUUGACCCAUAAAAGAAUAGCAUGAUUUGGGUUUUUUGUUUUUUUGCAUCUAGUGCUUAACUUUUGUAUUUUUGUCCUAUUUAGAGGAAUUUUGUUUUGUGAAUAUUUUGAGGUUUUUGUACUCUUUGAGACGUGGAUAUUUUCAUGGGGUUAUUGAUUAAGCCAUUUUAAAUCGGCAAUUUAUUUGGUCUUGUUCUCGGUUGUUUUAAAUUUACAAAAUCUGAUUAUAGAAAGUAAAAGUUACUCUUUGGAUGAUUAUAGAUUUUAGCUUUUCGAUCAUUAAAAAAAUCUAUAAUCAAAAUACAAAUGCAAUGCAUAAUAUCACAAAAACUGAUUAUUCAAAAUCAAAAUCUACAAUCAAUUAAAAUAAUCAAUCAAUAACAAACCCUAUAUAUAAAUGCGUGGGUUAUUGAUCUUGACGUGAGAGCAGGUACAGUUAGCUCAAACAACAGGCAUAAGAAAGAAAAUAUGGCAGGGGCAAUAUCAUUUUGCAGUAGUGGGAGGAUGAAUUAAAAAGGAAAAAGUAAAGUUAUUAGCGUUCACCAUUUCUUAAUUGGUAGUCAAUUACAUCUUAGUUCUUAUCUUUGAACUAAUCAAAAUAAUAAUAAUAAUAAUAAUAAUAAUAAUAAUAAUAACCGUAUCUGCUAUCACCAUCCCCAACCCCAAAAAACAAAAAAAAAAAAAAAAAAUUCUUCUCUCAAGUUGUCCAAAUAGCAUUUAAAUGUGCAGAGAACUACUUUGAACUAAUCAAAAUAACCGUAUAUGCUAUCACCAUCAUGAAGUGGACAUUUUUAUUCCAUAUACCAUAUCUCGUUGCAUUUUCUAUUUCCAGCAGCUCAACCUGUACUAAUAUGCAUAUAUCAUACUCAGCUAAGCAACAAAAUUAGAGGUAAAUAUUCACAAAUACCAAGUGUUUCAAGAUGCUUCUUCAAGGUGGAGGAUUGGAUUGGGUGGCAAGUGGGAGGGAGCAAAAGGAAAAAAAAAUGCUUCUUCAAGAAUUUCAAUAGCAAAUGACUUCUUGGUUCGAAUUACAUGGUUCAAUCGACUGAUUUACCGCAACAUAUAUUUCAACUAAGAAAUCUGAUCUAACAUGUUGUUGGUGGGUCAUAAUGUACUUUAUCCUUGGUUAUUAUCUAUAGAAAGCAUUAUAAAAUAUUCCUUCAGCUAUAGUAUAGCAUAACAAGCAAAGCUCCAGAAAUCAAAGAUGCAUACAAAGAUAACUAAUUCUUGAAUAAGAUGCACGUUAUAUCUCCAAAGACAUCUUGCAUUGAGAAGAAAAUAACCCCACAAAAUCCAUGCAGGAAAAUGACAAAUAAAAGCAUAGAAUACAACGACCUUUUCCUCAAUAAGCAUGCCACAUUAUUCAUCAGCUUGGCAGUUGGCAGAACUCAUGAUUUGUAAAGCUUUAAACUUCGUCCCUCAUCGAAGAUAGAAAAUCACUAGUGUAGAAGCCAGUAGUGUUCGUGGAGAUUCCAGCUGAGCAACAGAAGGGAAAUAUGGCUCAUGCUCAUAUUCUAAACCCCCUCAUCACCACAACAAACCCUAAGAACGAUAGGAGCGACCUCUAUGACUCAUUCGAGCUUCAAGCUGUUAUGAAACAGCUUAACCGUGCCAUUGAGGGUUCAAAGGCUCCUUUGUCUCCCAGCUCCUACUACCUCCUACUACCUGAAUUCCCCUUUUUACAGACGACGGUUAGACCAUAUCUACAAAGAAAAUGCUAAAGCACCUAGGAAAAUAUCAGGUUCAAUGAACAACAAUGGAGGUGUCGAGAUGAUGACAACCGCAAGAAACUGUAAGGGGCUGCAGCACCUAUGGAGGAAGGUGAAACAAACUUUUGUUGCGAGAACCAAAUUUCAAGAAAGUUGAAGGUCCCUGUAUUUCUUGAGCAAAUUGUGCAAGCUCUAGGGUUCUUGUAUUGUAUCAUAAUAAUAGUCCUUUUAUACCCUAACCACAGUUCGAAUACAGUACGAGUGUUUGUGUUUUUGUGCCAUAUCACCGUUGAACAAUCUCAAAAGGAACAUUAAAGGAUUCAAUGUCUUACCCAGAUUCUGCUAUUUAAAGCACUUUUUGAGUCCUUUCUUAAGCUUGAGCUUUUGAGAGAUUACCCAGUCCCGGCCAGCAGGGUGAUUGACAACAAAAAGAGAACUCAACUUCUAGUUAUUUGGGGGAAAUUCCGACGGAAUCCACCAUCCCUCCAACUAAAACCACGGGGGCUUGGAUUGUGACAAAUGAAUGUACAGUAUACAAAGUUCUGGAAUUAGACAUGCAAUGCACAAUCAUGAUGCGAAGAGAUGUUUGAAGUGUAGGUUCGAAUGCUAGAUAGUAGUACACGAGAAUAGGUACAAUCGCAAAGCCGCCACAACAAAAUGCCUCUUCUUGAGAAUGUUAAUCAAAGGGGUACACAAACAAGUUCAAGCUAGAAGCAAUUAACAAUUCAAAAAAUUAAAACUACAUUUUACACAAGAUGGUAUCUGUGCAUAUAUGCAGAAGGUGAUAAGACGCUUUGAAACCUAUAUUACAAAAUCAGAACAACUAUUCUCGUGAAAACGUUGAUCCACGAAGCAGGUAUGCUUGUAUAGCUGAACAUGUUUACGUGUAUAUAAAUCUAGGACAGUCUCAGUGCCAUUUCUUGAAGAAGCGAUCGCUUUUGUGAUGCAUUAAUUACAUGGUUGGAUUCAGCAUUUUCAAGCACAUCAGUAAUUAUGGCUGCCGCAUGACCCAGAGGUUCUUCUGCUGCUCUUCUCAAC